GUUUGAACACUCAUUUUUGUGUUCAAGAACAGUUCACAAGGAGUGCACCUAUAAUGCAAAAAUUGUAUUGGAACUUGAAAACUCUGAUUGCUUACAGGUCAAUACUCUAAAAUGACGUCAUGAUUCCCUUUUAUUCCAGAAGUGUGGUCCUUAAGGGGUUAAACACCUCUUUUCGAGGUAAUGUGCAGACAGUGGAUACAUUUGGGGUAACCUUAAACUGGGUCUCUCUUGGAACUCCUAUUAUCCUGUGUUGGUGGCAGUCAAAAUGCCAGUCCUGUUGAAUCACCCAUGGGCACCGAUGUCAAGGUUACAGACGUUCAGGAGCACGGAGAUGUCACUUCUCUGGAAAUUACAAUUCUUCUUUAAACACUUUUGUGUUGGUUUAAAAAAUGCAACAAAUUGGG